GGUCAAGCGAGUAAGCGCAUACGGUGGAUGCCUUGGCAGCUGGAGGCGAUGAAAGACGUACGAGCCUGCGAAAAGCUUCGGGGAGCCGGCAAACCAGACUUUGAUCCGGAGAUAUCCGAAUGGGGAAACCCACUGGCUUCGGCAGUAUCUCCCACUGAAUACAUAGGGGUUAGAAGCGAACCCGGGGAACUGAAACAUCUAAGUACCCGGAGGAAAGGACAUCAAACGAGAUUCCGCUAGGAGUGGCGAGCGAACGCGGAUCAGCCUGCAUGUGAUAACUUCAGCGUUAGGAGAAUCAUCUGGAAAGUUCAGCCAUACAGGGUGAUAGCCCCGUACCCGAAAACGCUAAAGUGAUACUAGGCUCGCGAUGAGUAGGUCGGGACACGUGUUAUCUUGACUGAAUAUGGGGGGACCAUCCUCCAAGGCUAAAUACUCCCAGCUGACCGAUAGUGAACCAGUACCGUGAGGGAAAGGCGAAAAGAACCCCGGAGAGGGGAGUGAAAUAGAUCCUGAAACCGUAUGCGUACAAGCAGUAGGAGCCCUUCGGGGUGACUGCGUACCUUUUGUAUAAUGGGUCAGCGACUUACUGUCAGUGGCGAGCUUAACCGUCUAGGGGAGGCGUAGGGAAACCGAGUCUUAAUAGGGCGUUUAGUCGCUGGUAGUAGACCCGAAACCGGGCGAUCUAGCCAUGGACAGGGUGAAGGUUCGGUAACACGGACUGGAGGCCCGAACCGGGAUCUGUUGAAAAAGAUUCGGAUGAGCUGUGGGUAGGAGUGAAAGGCUAAUCAAGCUUGGAAAUAGCUGGUUCUCCCCGAAAGCUAUUUAAGUAGCGCCUGGCGUGAUUACCCUCGGGGGUAGAGCACUGUUUCGGCUAGGGGGUCAUCCCGACUUACCAAACCGAUGCAAACUCCGAAUACCGUGGAGUACAGCCUGGCAGACACACGGCGGGUGCUAACGUCCGUCGUGAAAAGGGAAACAACCCAGACCGCCAGCUAAGGUCCCCAAUACUGGUUAAGUGGGAAACGAUGUGGGAAGGCACAGACAGCUAGGAGGUUGGCUUAGAAGCAGCCAUCCUUUAAAGAAAGCGUAAUAGCUCACUAGUCGAGUCGGCCUGCGCGGAAGAUUUAACGGGGCUCAAACCAGUAACCGAAGCUGCGGGUGCUCGCGUUUACGCGCAUGGUAGAGGAGCGUUCCGUAAGCCGUUGAAGGUGGAUCGUAAGGUCCGCUGGAGGUAUCGGAAGUGCGAAUGCUGACAUGAGUAACGAUAAUGGGGGUGAAAAACCCCCACGCCGAAAGACCAAGGGUUCCUGUCCAACGUUAAUCGGCGCGGGGUUAGUCGGUUCCUAAGGCGAGGCCGAAAGGCGUAGUCGAUGGAAAGCUGGUUAAUAUUCCAGUACCAAGUGCCACUGCGAUGGGGGGACGGAGAAGGCUAGGCCAGACGGGCGUUGGUAGUCCCGUUCUAAGCGUGUAGGGAGUGUCCUUAGGCAAAUAAACUUGCUUUCAAAGCUGUUGGGAGCCGAAGUAACCAGGCCGCUGCGACUGUUUAUUAAAAACACAGCACUCUGCAAACUCGUAAGAGGACGUAUAGGGUGUGACGCCUGCCCGGUGCCGGAAGGUUAAUUGAUGGGGUUAGCGCAAGCGAAGCUCUUGAUCGAAGCCCCGGUAAACGGCGGCCGUAACUAUAACGGUCCUAAGGUAGCGAAAUUCCUUGUCGGGUAAGUUCCGACCUGCACGAAUGGCGUAACGAUGGCGGCGCUGUCUCCACCCGAGACUCAGUGAAAUUGAAAUCGCUGUGAAGAUGCAGUGUACCCGCGGCUAGACGGAAAGACCCCCGUGAACCUUUACUAUAGCUUGGCACUGAACUUUGAAUCUACUUGUGUAGGAUAGGUGGGAGGCUUUGAAGCGUGGACGCUAGUCUGCGUGGAGCCAUCCUUGAAAUACCACCCUGGUAUAUUUGAGGUUCUAACUCCGGCCCGUUAUCCGGGUCGAGGACAGUGUCUGGUGGGUAGUUUGACUGGGGCGGUCUCCUCCCAAAGAGUAACGGAGGAGCACGAAGGUACCCUCGGCAUGGUCGGAAAUCAUGCUAUGAGUGCAAAGGCAUAAGGGUGCUUGACUGCGAGACUUACAAGUCGAGCAGGUACGAAAGUAGGUCUUAGUGAUCCGGUGGUUCUGUAUGGAAGGGCCAUCGCUCAACGGAUAAAAGGUACUCCGGGGAUAACAGGCUGAUACCGCCCAAGAGUUCACAUCGACGGCGGUGUUUGGCACCUCGAUGUCGGCUCAUCACAUCCUGGGGCUGAAGCAGGUCCCAAGGGUAUGGCUGUUCGCCAUUUAAAGUGGUACGCGAGCUGGGUUUAGAACGUCGUGAGACAGUUUGGUCCCUAUCUGCCGUGGGCGUUGGAAAUUUGAGGAGAGCUGCUCCUAGUACGAGAGGACCGGAGUGGACGAACCUCUGGUGUUCGGGUUGUCACGCCAGUGGCAUUGCCCGGUAGCUAUGUUCGGACAGGAUAACCGCUGAAAGCAUCUAAGCGGGAAGCCCCCUCCAAGAUGAGAUUUCCCUGGGCCCUUGAGGCCCCUGAAGGGCUGUCUUAGACCAAGACGUUGAUAGGCCGGGUGUGUAAGCGUCGCGAGACGUUGAGCUAACCGGUACUAAUUGCCCGUGAGGCUUGACCAU
rnacentral:rRNA from 1 species